rnacentral:rRNA from 1 species
GACGAACGCUGGCGGCGUGCCUAAUACAUGCAAGUAGAACGCUGAAGGAGGAGCUUGCUUCUCUGGAUGAGUUGCGAACGGGUGAGUAACGCGUAGGUAACCUGCCUGGUAGCGGGGGAUAACUAUUGGAAACGAUAGCUAAUACCGCAUAAGAGUAGAUGUCGCAUGACAUUUGCUUAAAAGGUGCAAUUGCAUCACUACCAGAUGGACCUGCGUUGUAUUAGCUAGUUGGUGAGGUAACGGCUCACCAAGGCAACGAUACCGAGCCGACCUGAGAGGGGGAGCGGCCACAGUGAGACUGAGACACGGCCCAGGCUCCUACGGGAGGGAGCGGUAGGGAAGCUGCGGAAAGAGACGGAAGUCUGACCGAGCAACGCCGCGGGAGUGAAGAAGGUUGUCGGAUUGUAAAGCUCUGUUGUAAGAGAAGAACGAGUGUGAGAGUGGAAAGUUCACACUGUGACGGUAGCUGAACAGAAAGGGACGGCUAACUACGUG